rnacentral:rRNA from 1 species
CAUGUCCUUUUGAUUAUAAUUUAAGGUCUAAUCUGCUCAAUGAAAUUUUAAAUUGCCGCGGUAUUUUGACCGUGCAAAGGUAGCAUAAUAAUUAGUUUUUUUAUUGAAAGCUGGAAUGAAUGAUUGGACGAGAAAGUGACUGUCUCUAAAUAAUUAUUAUUUUGAAUUUAACUUUUGAGUAAAAAGGCUCAAAUUUUUUUUAAAGACGAGAAGACCCUAUAGAGUUUAAUAUCUAAUUUGUUAUGUUAAUUUUUGGAAUUUUUUUUAAUUAAUUAUUUAUUUAGUUGGGGUGACUAGAGGAUUGAAUAAACUCCUCUAACAAGUAUUAAAUCAUUGAUUUAUGAAAAUAUAAUCUAGUUUUACCUAAAUAUAAGAUAAAUUACCUUAGGGAUAACAGCGUAAUUUCUUUUUGGAGCUCUAAUUGGAAAAGAAGUUUGCGACCUCGAUGUUGGAUUAAAAUUAGUUUUUGGUGCAGAAGCUAAAAAACUAGGUCUGUUCGACCUUUAAAUUUUUACAUGAUCUGAGU